UACGAAGGGGGCUAGCGUUGUUCGGAAUUACUGGGCGUAAAGCGCACGUAGGCGGAAUGUUAAGUCAGGGGUGAAAUCCCGGGGCUCAACCCCGGAACUGCCAUUGAUACUGGCAUUCUCGAGUCCAGUAGGGGAGUGUGGAAUUCCCAGUGUAGCGGUGAAAUGCGCAGAUAUUGGGAGGAACACCAGCGGCGAAGGCGGCACUCUGGGCUGGUACUGACGCUGAGGAGCGAAAGCGUGGGUAGCGAACAGG
rnacentral:rRNA from 1 species